rnacentral:rRNA from 1 species
UACGGAGGGAGCUAGCGUUGUUCGGAAUUACUGGGCGUAAAGCGCACGUAGGCGGCUUUGUAAGUUAGAGGUGAAAGCCCGGGGCUCAACCCCGGAAUUGCCUUUAAGACUGCAUCGCUUGAAUCCGGGAGAGGUGAGUGGAAUUCCGAGUGUAGAGGUGAAAUUCGUAGAUAUUCGGAAGAACACCAGUGGCGAAGGCGGCUCACUGGACCGGUAUUGACGCUGAGGUGCGAAAGCGUGGGGAUCAAACAGG